UAAUAGUGUAUAUUAAAGUUGUUGCAGUUAAAAAGCUCGUAGUUGAAUGUUGGUGUCGAACGAGCGGUCAGCUUCGGCUGUACUGCUCUCUCGACUCCUUCCUUCUGUGGACUACGUCGCACUUUACUGUGUGGCGCUAGGACGCAGAUCGUUUACUGUGAAAAAAUUAGAGUGUUCAAAGCAGGCCGUACGCUUGAAUACAUUAGCAUGGAAUAAUGGAAUAGGACGUCGGGCCUAUUUUGUUGGUUCUAGGACCGUCGUAAUGAUUAAUAGGGACAGUUGGGGCCGUUUAUAUUCCGUAGUCAGAGGUGAAAUUCUUGGAUUUACGGAAGAUAAACUACUGCGAAAGCAUUCGGCAAGGAUGUUNUCGUUAA
rnacentral:rRNA from 1 species